AAGUCGUAACAAGGUUUCCGUAGGUGAACCUGCGGAAGGAUCAUUAACACGUAUCCAACGUUAACCAAAGAGAACUGUUUUCACCCUCCCUUCACGGAGAAUGAGCGGGGUUCGUAGAGGUGUUGAAAGGGAUUGUUUCGGCAGUCAGCCUCUAUCUACUAUUUGUGUGUAAUAGAAAUAUUCGCACAGACGCUGUAUCUUUUGUGGAGAUUAAUCUCGCACAGUGCUCCCCUUUCAUUGAGGGCUGGCGCGGGAACUAUAUUAACCUAUUUCACCUUUUUUGCUAGUUGACUUUUAUAUGUUGUUCUUUGCGCUUGCGCAAGGUUCACACGUUUAAUUAUUUGAACGUUAAAAUUACAACUCUUAGCAAUGGAUAUCUUGGUUCUC
rnacentral:misc_RNA from 1 species